rnacentral:lncRNA from 10 species
UCGCAGUUCUGCAGGUUGUACAGGAAGCAUGGCUGGGGAGACCUCAGGAAACUUACAAUCAUGGUGAAAGGCAAAGAGGAAGCAGGCACAUCUUCACAUGGCUAGAGCAGGAGGAAGACAGAGAGCGAAGAGGGAGGUGCCACACACUUUUAAACAGCCAGAUCUCAUAAGAAUUCACUCAUAAUCAAAAGAACAGCACCAAAGGGGAAAUCCACCCUCAUGAUCCAAUCGCCUCCCACAAGGCCCCACCUCCAACAUGGGGGAUUACAAUUUGACAUGAGAUUUGGAUGGGGACAGAGACCCAAACCAUAUCAAAAGAGAAAGGCUGUUCUCCUCUUACUAUGGCACCAAAGCACUCGGGAGUCACCAAGGCAGGAAGUAAAGGGCUGACCAUUAACAAAAACAUCUUGACAGUUGAGUUGUAACAGUUGGAGCUUGAAUCUUUUCAGCCUUGGAUCUGAAUCCAUCUGUAAUUUACACUUCUCCCACUAUUUGUCUUCUUUGCUGGGCUGUGAAUUCCUUUCGUGUUCUUCAUGUCCCCAACUGGUGGUACAGUCCCUGGUACCAGGUAGGUGGUCCAUAAGUGGUGGUGGAAUGUGGGAAUGAAUGAAUGAAUGAAUGAAUGAAUGAACCCUUAGCUAAGGAGCAAACUGCCCCAGCUCUGGCACGAGCUGCAUUGCAGAGGCUGCUAAGUCAGGUGGUGACUGAGCAGACAGGUGUCAGAGAGACGCCUGGAGGAACCCAGCAGCACCUCACUAGAAUUCCUUCCUAGAAUUCUUUGUACUCUCUAAGCAUGUUGACAGACAUAAAUCUUUUGAAACCCCCCACUCACAUUUGGUUUGUUAAAUAAACACAUGGGAUUUUCCUUUUACAUAUUAAAAGCCGCAUGGACCUAAUUUCUCAUUUCAGCUGCUUUUUGUAAGCAGUGUUAGAGAAGGUAGAGGGAAGGUUCUGAGAUUUUCAGAAACAUCCAACGCAUUGUUUACCCAAGGCCACAUAGAGCCUGGAAUCCGCAUCCUCCUCCUGAGAUGUUACCAUGGAAACCAGGCUUGUGCUGCUCAUCCAAAGGGCAGCUUGUAGCACAGUCAGCCCUGGCUCCUGAGAGAAUGUGGGGCCUCAGGUAGGAACCUGCAGACAAGGCGUCAGGAGGGAAAAGCAAACUGCCUGCCCCCUACAAUCAGAACGCACACCAUCCUCCUCCUCCCUCCUGCUCCCAUCUCCCUCCUGCCACCCACAAUGGGAAAUAUGUCAGCCCCUCAGUCACUUGAGCACAGACCUCUGCUGCUCUGAGUGAUGGGUCAGACUGGCAUCUGCCUGCGGAGGUUAGAAUGUUAAUUUCACCUUGUCAUGUCAGAGAAGGAAAUGAUACAAGGCUGAGGGGCAGAGAAGGAGUUUUCCACAGGGCAAUGUCUUUGAUGCAUUCUGCAGCGUGGACAAACAAUGACCAGGUGUAACCAGGACAGGAGACACAAAUGCUGCUGCUUCCGUGGACAGGGACACGAUGGCCACUCCAGCCAUCCCCCCACUUCUCAUCGGCUGUUCAGUCUGGGCCAGAGCCACUAGAGUUGCUGUGUUUGCUUCCAGUGCCAGCUCCACAUCCAUUUCCAUGUCACUUACUAGCUGUCUGACCUAGAAACUAGAGACAUUGGCUGACCUCCUGAGCCUCUGAUUCCUGUCUGUCAAAUGAGGAUAAUAAGAUAUACCACAGAAAGUUCUUAUAAUUCAAAAGAGAGGUGCUCCCUGGGAGGUUCCUAACACAGUACCAGGCACGAUUCAGCCAAUGGCAGGGCCUGCUUCUCUUUCCGUUUACACACCGACUUCCAGUGUGUCAGGAAAACUGGCAUUUCUUCCUUAGAAAUGUCUCUCCCCAGGGACUUGGGAGGCCAAGGCAGGGAGAUCGCUUGAGGCCAGGAGUUCAAGACCAGCCUGGACAACAUAGUGAGACCUCAUCUCUACAUAAAAUAAAAGAAUUAGCCAGACAUAGUGGCACACACCUGUAGUCCCAGCUACUUGGGAGGCUGAGAUGGGAGGAUAGACUGAGCCUAGGAGUUCGAGGCUGCAGUGAGCUAUGAUCACACGACUGCACUCCAGCUAGGCAACAGAGAAAGAUCCUGUCCAAAAAAACAAGCAAAGCAAAGAAAAGAAAUGUCCCUCAAUGCACCCCUUCUCCCCACCUCAUCUCUGUCUCUGUUUGCAUGCAACAUGCUCCAGCACACAUUAGAAUCCACUGGAAGGAUUCAGGGGUAUCUCAUGGAAUAUCAGGGUAGGAAACACAUCCAGGCCUCAUAAGGGACUGGAAUCCAGAACUAGAAGGCCAAGGACUGAGGUUAUGCUCUUCACCUUACUGCGACCCAGUGGUCUCCUUGUACUGUAGCCUGCCUGUCUCUCUGCAUGUCAGCCUGCCCUGUCUCUCUGUCCAUGCAGAAGGAAAGAUCAUGCCAGCCCUGACUCCAAGUGGACUCCUGACUUGUCUACGAGAGAGUCUCCCUGCCAGCCCAUUCCAGGAGGAUCAUCUCAUUUACCUGCAGUCCAUGGGUUGUCCCGCCAUGGUCCCGUCAACUGUGACCUGAGAUGGUGCUAGCUGAGCCCUGCCCUUCUGCAGAAGGGAUUCUCAGGAGAAGGGGGCAUGAAGUGAGCAGGCACCUAAAAAUAUUACGUCGUUCCCCAAAGCUGCCCUUAAUGGAUUUGUUUCAAAGUUUGGAGGCAGAUGACUCAGCAGGAGGGUCUGUGGUCCAAACAUGCUCCCAGUGCAUGCCCUGUCCUGGAUGAGACAGGCUGUGGGCUCCUGGGAGAAACAGAGGUCCCCAUCUGAGCCCAUCAUAUGGCGACCUGAUCCACAUGGGAGAGGAGGCUGCCACUGCCAAGUCCAGGCACUUUCCUCCUAAACUUGUCUAUCAUCCCAGCUUGGCAUGAGCCAGGGCCCCAGGAAGGGGUGGAGAUAAAUGUCCCAUCUCCGGAAUGGGGUGAGAGAAGAACGAAAUGAGCUCAACCCAGCACACUGAAUUACCAGAAGUAAUUCAACCUACCAGUUUUAUUUCUAAGUAUUGAGCGAGAGCCUGAAAUACCUUCCACAUUGUUUUGGAUUCAUCAGAAGUACAAAGAUAUAUCUCAUAGCAUAUCUGCCAUCAGGAAACUUAGGUUCCAGAAGAGGAGUUAAGACUCAUAAACCACUGGGCUCUGUGGCUCAUAUCUGUAAUCUCAGUGCUUCGGGAGGCCAGGGUGGGAGGAUCACUUGAGGCCGAAAAUUUGAGACCAGCCUGGGCAACAUAGUGAGACCCCAUCUCUAAAAAAAAUUUUUUUUAAUUAGCUGGGCAUGGUGGUGUAGUCUCAGCUACUUGGGGUGCUGAGCGGGGAGGAUCGCUUGGACCCAGGAGUUUGAAGCUGCAGCUAGCUAUGAUUGAUUACACCAUUGCACUCUAGCAUGCUCAACAGAACAGCACCCUGCCUAAAAAAGAAAAAAAAAAAAGACUCAGAACCUAAAAAUGACAGGCAACUCAAGACCAUUAUGUGUGUGAAAUGACUCUGAAUGCUAUGAGCUCAGAGAAAAAUCCUGAAGCUGUCGGGGAGGACGGAAGAUAGAGGUGUGGCUUGAACGAGAUGUUGAGGAUGAGGAAGAUUGAUUGAAAUGAGAAACAUUAUUUUUAGGUCCCCUGAGUGUAUGUAUAAAGACAUAAAUAAGCUUGCUGAGGAGACAAACAGCGGAAAUGCUGAGAGAAUUUCCAAGGGCAGCAAACACACCAGCCCAACCAGAUGACGAAGGGUCUCCCAAGCCAUUGCUCUCACUCAAUGCUGCCCUGAGAGUUCGUUGGGAUGUUUCAAUGACAGUAAGAGCCCACACCAUCAAAGCGUUCUUGGCGUUGCAUUACGUAAAACUCUGCAGGAAGACAGUACCUCUAGGAAUGCACCUGUCAUCAAAGCAGGGCCCACCCAGUUAGGAAACAAGGCCGGGCUGGUCCAGAAGGAUGUGGCUGACUAUUGCACUCACCAGGAAAGAAGGUGCACACUUGCUGGCAUUUGUGGUUGCAUUGUGGUUCAGCAAUGAUUAUUCCACCAACUAAGCCACUUCCUAAAGCACAGUUCCACGUAUGGCAUAAAGGGCGGCUUCAACUGCCCUGGCUAAUGUCUGGAACAUUCACAGAGCCACACACUGCCCCUGGGGAAUGCCAGUGUCAUGAAGUCUCUCUGGGAAGGGUCGGCCACACCUCUCCAGCUUCCCUCUUCCCUCCCUUUGGGGGAUGCCACCCUUCCUGCCAGGCUGCCUCCUGGCCUCUCCAUGUCACUUCAGCCAUGCCAGGGCACUGAUCUCACGGGAAGGCUGCAACUCCUCCAUCCCACAGAAAUGACAGUCACACCCACCAACUGCCUCAACUUGGAGAAGCUAUUUUAAGACCACACCUACCCUAAGGGAAGUUAAACAGCCAGUAUAUUUGCUCCCAAUUUACCCAUGGAGAAACUGAAUCAAGAUCUGACUUACCAGGGCAAUCUCAACAAUUCAGUGACUCAUUGAGGUCAGAAUUCCACAAAGCCUAACCAGAGCCUGUGUGCCCUCAGACACGUCACCCUCUAUGCUGUGUCGUGGAGGUAGGACCUGCCUGGUUCCAGCAGUUUUGCCCACAGCUCUGCUGUAGAUCCCGCCUCUCAGACCCUAUUAUGUUUCGGUCAUUAAAUCUGUAAUCCUGAAUCCCACACAGACUUGCAAGUCAAGGAAUUCAGGCUGAGAAGGGUUCUCUCUGCUUAUGAGAGAAACACUCCCAUGAAAUGUGCAUCUGUGUGUGUCUGUCCAUUCGGAUGCAAUCAAUGGCAGUAAAUUCUUUGUAUUGUGAUAAGAAUCCCUAGCAAAGAAUCAACAAGUUGAGAC